UGGGGAAUAUUGCGCAAUGGGCGAAAGCCUGACGCAGCGACGCCGCGUGGGGGAUGAAGGCCUUCGGGUUGUAAACCCCUUUCAGCAGGGACGAAGCGAAAGUGACGGUACCUGCAGAAGAAGCGCCGGCUAACUACGUGCCAGCAGCCGCGGUAACACGUAGGGCGCAAGCGUUGUCCGGAAUUAUUGGGCGUAAAGAGCUCGUAGGCGGUCUGUUGCGUCCGCUGUGAAAACUCGGGGCUUAACCCCGAGCCUGCAGUGGAUACGGGCAGACUAGAGGUAGGUAGGGGAGAAUGGAAUUCCCGGUGUAGCGGUGAAAUGCGCAGAUAUCGGGAGGAACACCGGUGGCGAAGGCGGUUCUCUGGGCCUUACCUGACGCUGAGGAGCGAAAGCGUGGGGAGCGAACAG
rnacentral:rRNA from 1 species